rnacentral:rRNA from 1 species
CAGCGCCACGAGUGGCAAUCACGAUUAUUGGGCCUAAAGCGUCCGUAGCCGGUUCGGUAAAUCCUUUGUGAAAUCGCCAGGCUUAACCUGGCGGCGUGCAGGGGACACUGCCGAACUCGAGACCGGGAGGAGUCAGAAGUAUUUUGGGGGGAGCGGUAAAAUGCUAUAAUCCCUGAAAGACUACCUAUGGCGAAGGCAUCUGACUAGAACGGAUCUGACGGUGAGGGACGAAAGCCAGGGGAGCGAACCGGAUUAGAGACCCGAGUAGUCC